AGGGUGUAAACGCUGCAGACUUGGUGUUGGAAGCCCUUUGGGGGCAUUCAGUGCCGGAGAGAAAUUGUUAAGUCUGCUACUUGGGGAGUACGUCCGCAAGGAUGAAACUUAAAGGAAUUGGCGGGGGGAGCACCGCAACGGGAGGAGCGUGCGGUUUAAUUGGAUUCAACACCGUAAAACUCACCAGGGAAGACUGUUACAUGAAGGCCGAGAUGAAGACUCUGCUAGAUUUUCAGAGAGGAGGUGCAUGGCGUCAGUGACU
rnacentral:rRNA from 1 species